UACGGAGGGUGCGAGCGUUAUCCGGAUUCACUGGGUUUAAAGGGUGCGUAGGUGGGAAUGUAAGUCAGUGGUGAAAUCUCUGAGCUUAACUCAGAAACUGCCAUUGAUACUAUGUUUCUUGAAUUUUCUGGAGGUCAGCGGAAUAUGUCAUGUAGCGGUGAAAUGCUUAGAUAUGACAUAGAACACCAAUUGCGAAGGCAGCUGGCUACAGGGAUAUUGACACUGAGGCACGAAAGCGUGGGAUCAAACAGG
rnacentral:rRNA from 1 species